rnacentral:misc_RNA from 1 species
GAUGAAGAACGUAGCAAAAUGCGAUAAGUAGUGUGAAUUGCAGAAUUCAGUGAAUCAUCGAAUCUUUGAACGCACAUUGCGCCCCUUGGUAUUCCAUGGGGCAUGCCUGUUCGAGCGUCAUUGACACCCUCAAGCUCUGCUUGGUGUUGGGCCGUUGUCGUUUCCUCGCCCCCCCCCGGGCGACACAGCGAUACCCCUCAAAGUCAUUGGCGGCUUUCCUGCCCAGCUUUCCCGCGCAGCAGUUCGCGCUUCGGAGACCACUUGGCAGGUUGGCAUCCAUCAAGCUGACCCCUCACGCUUGACCUCGGAUCAGGUAGGGACUACCCGCUGAACUUAAGCAUAUCAAUAAGCGGAGGA